rnacentral:rRNA from 1 species
AUUGAACGCUGGCGGCAUGCUUUACACAUGCAAGUCGAACGGUAACAGGCCUUUGGGUUCUGACGCGUGGCUAACGGGUGAGUAAUUCAUCGGAACGUACCCUGCGGUGGGGUAUAACGCAGCGAAAGCUGUGUUAAUAUCGUAUGUGAUCUGAGGAUGAAAUCGGUGGACCGAGCAGCAAUGUUUGGCCUCGCGCCUUUGGACCGGCCGAUUUCGGAUUAGCUAGUUGGUGGGGUAAAUGCCUACCAAGUCGACGAUCCGUAGCUUGUCUGAGAGGACGAUAGGCCACACUGGAACUGGGACACGGACAAGACUACUAAGGGAGGCAGCAGAGGGGAAUGUUGGACAAUGGGCGCAAGUCUGGUACAGCAAUGCCGAGUGCGGGAAGAAGGCCUUCGGGUUGUGAACAGCUUUUGGCAGGAACGAAACGGUGUCCGCUAAUACCGGGCGCUAAUGACGGUAACUGGAGAAUAAGCACCGGCUAACUACGUG